CAUUAGUAGUGCACUUCAUUUAAUUUAACUUGCGGCAAAUGCACCAGUGCACCAUGUGUUUUAUUCAGGCAAUGCAGCAUAGCAUAGCAUAUUUUUCUUCCUCCAGCUGCUUAGGAGAUGAAAGAUGAUAGUUGCCCUCCGGGUGAUUCAGUCAGCCAGCCAGCAGACCACACGUGAAGAAAUCUUGGCAGUAUCAAAGCCCUCAAUAAUUUGCCAGAACGCCACAAUUUUAUGAGAGAUGAAAUGAGAAAUGAAAGAAAUCAAAAGUAUGAGGCAAAAGUCAGGACAUUCUGCAAAUGUCUGCA